AUAAGCACUAUAGCUAGGUCUUCAAUAAGAUAAAUAAAACUGGGUAUUGUUUAAAAUGGUCUAAUUAUUGGUGCGUUAAACAGCAUGCAAUGUGAUUGCCAGCAGUCCAACUCACUGCUUUGUGUUUUAUGUAUUUUUUAUUUUACUUAUUUGUUUACUUAUUUUUCUAACAAAAUAGAAAUAUAUUUUAUUGCCCCACAGUGGGGAAAUCCCAGUUUCACAGCAGCAAGUUCAGUGUGAGCAUUUAUAUUUACACAAAGGUAAAACAACAGUAACAACAAAAACAAUAUUCAAUAAGUAAGGACAACAUUUACAACAUCAGAAAUUAAUACUGUGCAUGAAAAACAUCAUACUCUGUAUACAAGGCUUUAAAUGAAUUAAUUUUUGUUUUUAUUUUAAAUCUGUAUUUAAAAAAUAUAAACAUAAUUUUAAAAAAGCUAUUCCACCAAAUUUAUUGUAAUUUUGUACAGUAUUAAUUCAGUACAAAACACACCUUUAAAUGAAGAUUAUACAAAUGUUAUUUUUUCCCUUUAAUAUAUGAUGCUAAAAAAUGUGAAAAAAAAGACAUUAGAAAAAAAAACAUGUUUAUCUUGUUAUUAAACAGUUAAUAAAAUCUUUAAAAAAGAAUGUACAUCACAGUGAUCUAGAUUCAUUAUUCUUUCUGAGUUCACUGUAAAAAUUUAGAAAAGGUCACAUUUCUGCAAACUGGUUGUAUUUAAAGGUUGAAAACGAACACAGCCUAUUACAACAUCUUAACUUUAUUUCUUGUCAUUCAGA